rnacentral:rRNA from 1 species
AGACGGCUCAGUAACACGUAGUCAACCUACCCUAUGGACGAGAAUAAUCUCGGGAAACUGAGCAUAAUUCUUGAUAGAUCAUAAUGCCUGGAAUGGUUUAUGGUUAAAAUGAUUCGUCGCCAUAGGAUGGGACUGCGGCCUAUCAGCUUGUUGGUGAGGUAAUGGCCCACCAAGGCGAUUACAGGUACGGGCUCUGAGAGGAGAAGCCCGGAGAUGGGUACUGAGACACGGACCCAGGCCCUAUGGGGCGCAGCAGGCGAGAAAACUUUGCAAUGUGCGAAAGCACGACAAGGUUAAUCCGAGUGAUUUCUGCUAAAGAAAUCUUUUGCCAGUCGUAAAACCGCUGGUGAAUAAGGGGUGGGCAAGUUCUGGUGUCAGCCGCCGCGGUAAAACCAGCACCUCAAGUGGUCAGGAUGAUUAUUGGGCCUAAAGCAUCCGUAGCCGGCUUUGUUAGUUUUCGGUUAAAUCCAUGUGCUCAACGCAUGGGCUGCCGAAAAUACUGCAUAGCUAGGGAGUGGGAGAGGUAGACGGUACUCAGUAGGAAGGGGUAAAAUCCUUUGAUCUAUUGAUGACCACCUGUGGCGAAGGCGGUCUACCAGAACACGUUCGACGGUGAGGGAUGAAAGCUGGGGGAGCAAACCGGAUUAGAUACCCGGGUAGUCCCAGCUGUAAACGAUGCAGACUCGAUGAUGCAUUGGCAUAAUAGCCAGUGCAGUGUCGCAGGGAAGCCGUUAAGUCUGCCGCCUGGGAAGUACGUACGCAAGUAUGAAACUUAAAGGAAUUGGCGGGGGAGCACC